UAAUGCCGUGAAUUGAAAUCGGCGAUAUCCCCGAAGAGAUAGCAGCGAUCAAGGUUUGCGAGUCCGAUCGGAAGAUAACUGCAUCAAUUUGAAGAGCAGCUGCAUGGACGAUCGCUGCAUAGAGAUCCAGAGCUUCUGCCACAAGAACUGACCCAACAUCUGAAGCCGAUCUUGCAUGCUUGGAAAUGAUAGUUGAAGAUCGAUCAAAGACCCAUCCCAAACCUGCCAUCUGUGAGUCCACACGCCACGCCGCGUCAGUUGAGCAGAUCAGGGAGACAUCACCUCUGAAAGAAAGCUGUUGCUGGAUUAUCGGAGCUUUGACUUGAAGGGUUGCGUCGAUUUCGUUGGCUGUAUUCCAUUCCAGAGCAUCCUAGAGAGCUCUUAGGACAGUUUCCAAAGUGGAGAGGUUUCGGUUAUUGAAGGUUCUUUGAUUCCUGAAAAUCCAAAGAGCCCAACAUAUCCAGGAGAAGAGGCGGCCUGCUUUGACUCUCGUAGGUAGGAGGGUGAGAAAAUUGCAUGAGUUAGCUAUCCCAUUCCUCACAUCAGUUAUCUGUGAUGAGUCGAAUUCAGCUGCGAAUGGAGCAGAUCUCCAGACCUCUUGAGCAAAGGCGCGGCCAAACAAGAGAUGGAAGCGCUCCUUGGAGGGCUUUCCAAAGGAAGAGUUUCACCUUAGGUGCAGCUUUAACAUUCUAAACCAGCUUAUUCCACUCAGUUUCCACACCUGGAAGGAGAGCUUCAUAUUUGGAGAAAGCAGCAGAGAGAUUGAGGGGGUGGACCUAUUGGACGGAGCACUUUCUGACGAACCCAAAAGCUGAUAGAUGCACCGUUACCCAAUGCCCAUCCUAAUUGUGAGGCAAGCAGAUCUCUCCCUGUAAGAUGCUUAUCCCAACCAUGUGAAGCCAUGGAAGGGGCUUAAGUCCUCAGGAUAGAAUAGUCCAUGAAGUAUUUGCCUUUGAGAAUCAUGCAAAGAAGGCAGUUUGGGAAUCGAAUCAGUCUCCAGCUCAGCUUUGCAAGGAGUGCAUCGUUGAACAGGGGAGGAGUACCACCAAAAUCGUGUCAACGAUGAUUGAAUAUGUUUACAAAGUGGCUGGAGAAGCUUGAAACAGAUCAUAGCAUAUGAUGGCAUAGUAGCAAGUACACUCCACAACAUGAUUAGCUUCCCUGCACCCGAGAGAAGCUUUGACGAUCAGUUUGCAGCUCGAUGCUUGAUCUUAUCCACUAUCGAGGAAUUUGUGUCAGCUCUAAAGAAGAAAAUCGUAUCAUCUGCAAAGAGCAGAUGGUUAAUGCAGGGACAUCCCCGAGCUACUUUAACACCUUUGAAUUUUUUCCUCUUCUGGGCCUGAUUACAAAGUCCCGAGAGCCCUUCUCCACACAGUAUGAACAGGUAAAGAGACAGGGGAUCACCCUUUCGGAUCCCUCUAGAAGAUUUGAAGAAAGCUUUUAACUCUCCCACCAAAUCUGUGCCAAUGACCUCCCAGUUGGAAUGAAAAAAACACGUUGAAAAACCAUUGGGGCCAGGGGCUUUAUCUGGAUGGAUGGAGAAGAGGGCAUCCUUAAUCUUAGCAUCAGAAGGUUCUUGGCUGAGGAGGAGGUUAUCUUCCUCAGAAAUGACCAGUACGAGUGCAUUAGCGAUUAUCUCUUCAGUUUUAUGCAUGUUAGUCUCUUGAGAGAGGCAUGAAAGAAGUCUAUAUUUCUGUCCCCCAAUUUGAGCCACAACUGUCUGCUACGCUGCUUCCAGAAGGCCUCUUCAUCUUUGUAUGCACUGAUGCUUACAUCGACCUGAGGGAAAUAAGUCUGCACAGGCACUAUUGGAGACUGCUCGAUCCAGGCGACAUUGGACAUUACAUUCAUUCUUAACUCCUCUCCAAGAUAAAGGACAUCCAGAAUGGUUUAAAUCAAAUAGAUCUUAUUCCGCAAAGAAGCUUUUGAAGUCAUUAAAGGAACCUUCAGAUCUGGGCUAUCAAAUGAUUCCAGAAUUUUUUACAAUCAGCUUUAACCGGAUUACCAUAGACAAAGCAGCAGCAGACCUCCUCCCCCAUGACCAUGGGGGGUUACAAGUAGAUGAUGAUCAUAAGCGAAUGAUUCAACUUUCUUCAUCACGAAGUCAAUGGGGUUUUUUUGUAUCAGAUAGAAAUAUAAUAUCAGGAUCCAUACGGUGGUGGAGGUCCUGAAGUCUGUGAACUGUCCCGGGAUUCUCCAACCCUUGACUGUUCGAGGCCAGUAUCUUUAAGGAAGAAGAGGAGGCGGAGGCCGAAAAUCCGCCUGUUUCUUAGCCAUCUUUGGGAUCACUUUUGGUGCUGACGGAGCCGAGCCUCUGAUAACACCGUAUUUUGACCAUUUUUAUGGAUCGUUUUGAAAUACUUUUUCUAUGUUUUUAAUUGCGUUUAAGUAAUUUUACUACGUUUUUCUAGUAUUCGUAGUUCCAAGACUCUUUUCAGGUAACUUAGGGAAAAGCUUAACAAAAUGGAUAGAAAACCAGAUUUCAGCUCAAAGUCAAACCGUCAGAAGUUCACCCCUGAUUGAAGGCCUUCUCACCGUCUGAUCCAGCUCAAAUUUGGAGACCUUAAAGAUGGAAGUAUCAGCUUUUUAGUGCACUUUACAGCUUGGGAAUCCAACGGUUCAAUCAAAAGAUACGCGAAGAGCAAGAUGUCCCGUAAACCAGCCGGCAAGCACUUCCACCCGCGGCCAAACACUCAUUCCCCAUGGUCAGGAGCAUCCCGACCGCGGCCAAACACUUGUUCCCCGCGGUCACACUUGUCCCGACCGCGGCCAUCAACCUCCGAGCCCAAAAAGCCCAUUUCUGAAGCCCAUAUUUGGAGAAACCCUAAGUGACGUCCAAAGAGGUCUUGAGCACUAUAAAUACAUGUCUUAGGAACCCUAAAUAUCAUGUAACCGAAUAUCAUCCAUCAUUACUUCAUAUUUUUAUUGUUUUUGCUUUAGGUUUUAGGGAGAGAGAGAUUUGUUCUCUUGAACCCUUGUUCUUUCUUUAUCAAUUUCGAUU